UACAGAGGGGGCAAGCGGUAUUCGGAAUUAUUGGGCGUAAAGGGCGCGUAGGCGGCUUUGCAAGUGACGGGUGAAAUCCCUCGGCUUAACCGAGGAACUGCCUGUCAAACUGCAUGGCUUGAGACCGGGAGAGGUGAGUGGAAUUCCCAGUGUAGCGGUGAAAUGCGUAGAUAUUGGGAGGAACACCAGUGGCGAAGGCGGCUCACUGGACCGGUACUGACGCUGAUGCGCGAAAGCGUGGGGAGCAAACAGG
rnacentral:rRNA from 1 species